UCCAUUCGUUGUAACGCCCUUGCACUAUAGUCCCUUGCAGACAAUUAGUUGUUUUUACGGCCGCUCACUAAAGCCUUGUUGUAGAAUGGUUUGUUGUUAAGACCAUUUUGUGCUGAAUAAUAAUCUUCAAAUUUUUCAAGAAAAUACGAACAAUGGCAUUCAACGAAGAUAACAUAUCGUGCCUGAAAUAAACAGAUGCUGCUUUCUGAAAAACGACCAUAGGAAAUCAAAUCGUGCCAGAGUCGUACUGAACGGAGGAGAAAGACACAAAACUCAAGAUGAUAAUUGCAUGCAAAAAACCCUGUUUUUGUUUUUCUGCUAAAUAGAAACUGAUCGGUUGAAGGGAAAUAUAAAAUUGUCCGAUGCAUCUGAAAACUUGCUUUCUUAGUAAUAAAAUGCAUAUUUCUCAAUAAAUGAUAACAGAGGUAACUAUUCAAA